AAAUUCUCCUGCCUCGGGAAUCCGUAAACCGGGGAAGGAGGCUCGAACGCGCGUCUCGCCGCGGGGAGGAGCUGCCCGCCGGGCGACGCCGAGGAGGAGGGGGCGGCCGCGCCGGACGCGCAGGAAGAGAAUUUUAAGAGAAAUGCACGCUUCUAAUAGCUUGUCAGAAACAACAAAAGCUUUCUAACUCUGAAGACUGGUAAAUUUAGGCUGUGAGAUGUACCAUGAAUUCGAAAAUCAACUCCUCAUGCUGGGAGCCGAUUGCCCCAAAUUCUUUCAAGUGAGAAGACAGGGACCGUUAGCUGAAAUGCCGCUGUUGAGUUUAGUGGUGUGAGCGUGCAUAAGGAUACAGAGCACAAGUUCCCAAAGUAAAACAACUCCCCACUCUGCCUAUCCCACUCUGCCAAUCCAAGAGACCAGGACAUCUGGCAUCACUCUUGAAAUCUAAAGAACUGACAAGAAGAAGGAAGGAAAGAAAACAAGAUUUCUGAAAUGGAGACGACAGUCUGGGAGAGAAGAAACAAGAUUUUUUUAUUGUGAUAAAAGAUCUUUAGUUAAAGAUUUUGUUUUUAUUGUAUGUGUGUUUGUGGGAGAGAGACCUAAGCUACCUGCUAUGGACUGAAUGUUUGCGUCCCCCCAAAAAUUCAUAUGUGGAAGACUAAUCCCCAAAUUGAUAGUAUUGGUAUUAGGAGAUGGGGCCUUUGGGAGGUAAUUAGGUCAUGAGGAUGGAGCCCUCAUGAAUGGGAUUAGUGCCCUUACAAGAAGAGACAAGAGAACUUGUUCUUUGCCAUGUGAGACUAAGACAAGAAGAUAGCCAUCUGCAAGCCAUGAAGGGAGUCUUCACAAGACCCUGGAUCUACCAACACCUUGAUCGUGGACCUCCCAGCCUUCGUAACUGUGCAAAUAAAUGUUUUUGUUUAAGUCACCAAGUCUGUGGUAUUCUGUUAUAUGAGCCUUAACUAUAGCACUACCUCAGGAGUUACUGUAGUGGUGGUUGUCUUUUACCCCAACUUUGGCAAAGGGGCCAUGCUGUAAUCUGUUCUUGUACUAGAAGACUAUUAGGAUUUCCAGGAAAUCAUUAAAGUUUUGCUACAACCAUGCAUAAUUAUGUGAUUGUGUAUGUGUUUUACUUAUACAGUCUUCUCAUUAAUUAGACAUUUAACUAGAAUCUUAUUUCAUUCUUUAGAAAAGAGAUGUCAAUUAUGACUUUAUAUUUGGGUUAUGUUUCUCUAAAGCUAUUUUCACUCUCUUUUUA
ensembl:lncRNA